UGCUAGUCGCGUGCUUCAGCCAAAACGAGGCACGGCAAACAGCUCAGUAACACGUGGCUAAUCUGCCCUUAGGACGCGAACAACCCCGGGAAACUGGGGCUAAUUCUCGAUAGGUGAAGAACUCUGGAAUGAGUCUUUGCCUAAAAGAGCUUACGUUAUGCUCGUAAGUUUCGCCUAAGGAUGAGGCCGCGACCGAUCAGGUUGUUGGUGAGGUAAUGGCUCACCAAGCCUUUUACCGGUGCGGGCCGUGAGAGCGGGAGCCCGGAGAUGGGCACUGAGACAAGGGCCCAGGCCCUACGGGGCGCAGCAGUCGCGAAAACUUUGCAAUACACGAAAGUGUGACAGGGCUAUCCCGAGUGCCAUCCGCUGAGGAAGGCUUUUACCCAGUCUAGAACGCUGGGGGAACAAGGAGAGGGCAAGUCUGGUGUCAGCCGCCGCGGUAAUACCAGCUCUCCGAGUGGUGUGGAUGUUUAUUGGGCCUAAAGCAUCCGUAGCUGGCUAGGUAAGUCCCCUGUUAAAUCCACCGAAUUAAUCGUUGGAUCGCGGGGGAUACUGCUUGGCUAGGGGACGAGAGAGGCAGACGGUAUUUUUGGGGUAGGGGUGAAAUCCUAUAAUCCCAGGAAGACCACCAGUGGCGAAGGCUGUCUGCUAGAACGCGCCCGACGGUGAGGGAUGAAAGCUGGGGGAGCGAACCGGAUUAGAUACCCGGGUAGUCCCAGCUGUAAACGAUGCAGACUAGGUGUUUGGACGGCCACGUGCCGUUCUAGUGCCGCAGGGAAGCUGUUAAGUCUGCCGCCUGGGGAGUACGAUCGCAAGAUUGAAACUUAA
rnacentral:rRNA from 1 species